AUACGUAGGGGGCGAGCGUUGUCCGGAAUGAUUGGGCGUAAAGGGCGCGUAGGCGGCCCGGUAAGUCUGGAGUGAAAGUCCUGUUUUUAAGGUGGGAAUUGCUUUGGAUACUGCCGCGCUUGAGUGCAGGAGAGGUUAUCGGAAUUCCCGGUGUAGCGGUGAAAUGCGUAGAGAUCGGGAGGAACACCAGUGGCGAAGGCGGGUAACUGGACUGCAACUGACGCUGAGGCGCGAAAGUGUGGGGAGCAAACAGGAUUAGAUACCCUGGUAGUCCACACUGUAAACGAUGAAUGCUAGGUGUAAGAGGUAUCGACCCCUUUUGUGCCGGAGUCAACACAAUAAGCAUUCCGCCUGGGGAGUACGGCCGCAAGGUUGAAACUCAAAUGAAUUGGCGGGG
rnacentral:rRNA from 1 species